AGUUUGAUCAUGGCUCAGAUUGGCAGACGCUGGCGGGAUGCUUUACACAUGCAAAGUCGAACCGGCAGCACGGACUUCGGUCUGGUGGCGAGUGGCGAACAGGUGAGUAAUGUAUCGGAACGUGCCCUGGUAGCAGGGGAUAACUACGCGAAAACUGGCUAAUACCGCAUACGCCCUUCGGGGGAAAGCGGGGGACCUUCGGGCCUCGCACUAUUAGAGCGGCCGAUAUCGGAUUAGCUAGUUGGUGGGGUAACGGCUCGCAAAGGCGACGAUCCGUAGCUGGUUUGAGAGGACCGUUCCUUCACACUGGGACCGAGACCUGACCCCAGACUCUACGGGAGGCGGCAGUGAAAUUUUGGACAAUGGGGAAACCCUGAUCCAGCCAUCCGCGUGUGCGAUGAAGGCCUUCGGGUUGUAAAGCACUUUGGCAGGAAAGAAACGGCACGGGAUAUUACCCCGUGCAACUGACGGUACCUGCAGAAUAAGCACCGGCUAACUACGUGCACGCUUCAGCCGCGGUAAUACGUAAGUGCAAGCGUUAAAUCGGAAUUACUGGGCGUAAAGCGUGCGCAGGCGGUUCGGAAAGAAAGAUCUUAAUCCCAGAGCUUAACUGGAACUACAUUUUUAACUACCGAGCUAGAGUGUGUCAGAGGGAGGUGGAAUUCCGCAUAGCAGUGAAAUGCGUAGACAUGCGGAGGAACACCAUUCGCGAAGGCAACCUCGCAGGAUAACACUGACGCUCAUACGGCGUAGGGAGCAAACAGGAUUAGAUACCUGGUGAUCACGCCCUAAACGAUAUCAACCAGCUGUUGGGGCCUUCGGGCCUUGGUAGCGCAAUAACGCGUAGUUGACCGCCUGGGAAGUACGGUCGCAGGUUAAAACUCAAAGGAAUUGACGGGGACCCGCACAAGCGGUGGAUGAUGUGGAUUAAUUCGAUGCAACGCGAAAAACCUUACCUACCAUCGUAUAUGGAAUCCCGAAGAGAUUUGGGAGUGCUCGCAAGAGAACCGGAACACAGGUGCUGCAUGGCUGUCGUCGAAACGUGUGCGUGAGAUGUUGGUUAAGUCCCGCAACGAGCGCAACCCUUAUCAUUAGUUGCUACGAAGGGCACUCUAAUGAGACUGCCGGUGACAAACCGGAGGAGGUGAGGGUGACGGUCUGAUCCUCAUGGCCCUUAUGGGUAGACUACACGUCAUACAAUGGUCAGGACAGAGGGUCGCCAACCCCGCGAGGGGGAGCCAAUCCCAGAAACCCGAUCGUAGUCCGGAUCACUGAUCUGCAACUCGACUGCGUGAAGUCGGAAUCGCUAGUAAUCGCGGAUCAGCAUGUCGCGGUGAAUACAAUUCCCGGGUCUUGUACACACCGCCCGUCACCAUGGGAGUGGGUUUUACCAGAAGUAGUUAAGCCUAACCUGCAAGAAGCGAUUACCGACCAGGAUUCAUGACUGAAGGGGUGAAGUCGUAACAAGGUA
rnacentral:rRNA from 1 species